rnacentral:rRNA from 1 species
ACGAGUUCUGAUUAUUGAAAGGUGCUUGCAUCUUGAUUUAAUUUUGAACGAGUGGCGGACGGGUGAGUAACACGUGGGUAACCUGCCCUUAAGUGGGGGAUAACAUUUGGAAACAGAUGCUAAUACCGCAUAAAUCCAAGAACCGCAUGGUUCUUGGCUGAAAGAUGGCGUAAGCUAUCGCUUUUGGAUGGACCCGCGGCGUAUUAGCUAGUUGGUGAGGUAACGGCUCACCAAGGCAAUGAUACGUAGCCGAACUGAGAGGUUGAUCGGCCACAUUGGGACUGAGACACGGCCCAAACUCCUACGGGAGGCAGCAGUAGGGAAUCUUCCACAAUGGACGCAAGUCUGAUGGAGCAACGCCGCGUGAGUGAAGAAGGCUUUCGGGUCGUAAAACUCUGUUGUUGGAGAAGAAUGGUCGGCAGAGUAACUGUUGUCGGCGUGACGGUAUCCAACCAGAAAGCCACGGCUAACUACGUGCCAGCAGCCGCGGUAAUACGUAGGUGGCAAGCGUUAUCCGGAUUUAUUGGGCGUAAAGCGAGCGCAGGCGGUUUUUUAAGUCUGAUGUGAAAGCCCUCGGCUUAACCGAGGAAGUGCAUCGGAAACUGGGAAACUUGAGUGCAGAAGAGGACAGUGGAACUCCAUGUGUAGCGGUGAAAUGCGUAGAUAUAUGGAAGAACACCAGUGGCGAAGGCGGCUGUCUGGUCUGUAACUGACGCUGAGGCUCGAAAGCAUGGGUAGCGAACAGGAUUAGAUACCCUGGUAGUCCAUGCCGUAAACGAUGAAUGCUAGGUGUUGGAGGGUUUCCGCCCUUCAGUGCCGCAGCUAACGCAUUAAGCAUUCCGCCUGGGGAGUACGACCGCAAGGUUGAAACUCAAAGGAAUUGACGGGGGCCCGCACAAGCGGUGGAGCAUGUGGUUUAAUUCGAAGCAACGCGAAGAACCUUACCAGGUCUUGACAUCUUUUGAUCACCUGAGAGAUCAGGUUUCCCCUUCGGGGGCAAAAUGACAGGUGGUGCAUGGUUGUCGUCAGCUCGUGUCGUGAGAUGUUGGGUUAAGUCCCGCAACGAGCGCAACCCUUAUGACUAGUUGCCAGCAUUUAGUUGGGCACUCUAGUAAGACUGCCGGUGACAAACCGGAGGAAGGUGGGGAUGACGUCAAAUCAUCAUGCCCCUUAUGACCUGGGCUACACACGUGCUACAAUGGAUGGUACAACGAGUUGCGAGACCGCGAGGUCAAGCUAAUCUCUUAAAGCCAUUCUCAGUUCGGACUGUAGGCUGCAACUCGCCUACACGAAGUCGGAAUCGCUAGUAAUCGCGGAUCAGCACGCCGCGGUGAAUACGUUCCCGGGCCUUGUACACACCGCCCGUCACACCAUGAGAGUUUGUAACACCCGAAGCCGGUGGCGUAACCCUUUUAGGGAGCGAGCC